CCGGGUGGAUGUGCCAGUCCGCGCCGCGCCGCACUGCCGACCUUACGUCGCCGCCGUCGUCGCGACGCUCUCACUACGCUCGCGAUCGCGAACCCCGAUAUUUUCAGACUAUUUAUGCCGCGAAGUACACGCGUGCAAUGAUGGGGACUGCCACCCUCCCGGGACAAGAGGCCUGCGACUGUGUUCAGUGUACCGUUUGGAUGUGUUUUCGUUUGAAGUAACAUGUGCUGAAGGCGAGUUCCGUUUCUAUGGGUGCACUGGUUCGUCGCCCUACGCGGUCUGUCACCCACUUUUGAUGAUUAGAAUGAACUAGUUUGUGACGCACACUACACACGAUGGCAGUACUAUGAUGCUAUUUUGGUUAAACGAACGACUUAUUAGAGUCCUUCGUCCUGUUCGACAGUGAUCAAUCGUCUUUAAUGAUGUUUUCUCCGGUGAAACAUAAGCUCAAAUGAGGCGAUUAAGCGUUGAAGAUGAACAGGCCGGGCUACGAUUAUACCGUGCCUGCAUCCACCACCUAUUACGCGAGUAAUAACCGGCCACCGCAAUACGAGCGCGGCUACGGACAGCUCACAGCCGGUCCUCUCUAUAGCCCCUCCUCCCAUCCCCUCUCCAAUUACGCAGAUGUAUAUGAGGGCAACAACGAUACCACUCUCAGAGCAGAAGAGAGGCACUGGUACAUAGAGAACCAUAAAAAUUUACAGCCGAAUUAUGACGUCAGUGACGCCAUACCUCAAGAUGCCAAAGUUAAGAAAGAGGAGGAGAAGAAAAGCGAAGUACCAAUCAGACGGUCCGAUGCAGGGCAGCCUCGGCAGAGACGGAAAGAGGACCGCUGCUCAUGCGAGUGCUGGCCUAGUACCGACAAUAAUAUCGUGCAAGAUAGUACAGGGAACGAGACGACGAGGUCGCUGUCGGGGGUCGACAUGGUGGCCUCGUACGGUGUGUACGGCAACCCUAGAGAUGACGAGAGUUCAGGGUUUGCGCGGCUAUCGGAGAAGAGUGGUGUGUACGGACAAGGGAGCGAUGCUCCAGUGCAGGGCGUGAUAGUGAACCAGCAAGGGAACAGCGCGGUGGUACGCGCGCCGUCGCCCGCGCAGCCGGGCUGCGGCCGCUGCUGCGCGUGGUCGAGCGCCGCGCCUGCAGCCAACUCGGAGGACUACUGCUGGAUACACUACUGCCGCCCCGCGCUCAUAGUUUUACUACUAUUGUUUUUUCUAGUCUUGUUGGGCGUUUCUACUGGUUUCUUACUGACGAAUAACUAUUUACACUAUCAGCCUAGACCUCCAGCUCCCGAAGAGGCGUGUGAAAAAACAUUUUGUCGUUGGGGCGCGGAGUGUGUUUCCCUUGGGGACGGGCGUGCCCACUGCGCUUGUCCCGCGACAUGCCCCACGUCACCGGCGCCCGUGUGCUCCACCGCCGGCCGCACGUAUCGCAACCAUUGCUACUUACGUAAGGAAGCCUGCGAGCGACGACUCAACUUACGCGUCAAACAUGAAGGAGAAUGCGAUGCAGGAGACCCAUGUACAGGAGUAUCAUGUCCAGUCGGAGCUCGAUGUGUCGCAGCAUAUGGCCAACCAGAGUGUAGAUGUCCUAGAAGUUGUCAGCGACGCAAACCUGUGUGUGGGACCGAUGGGAGAGAAUACCCAUCCGUGUGCCACCUCGACAAACACGCAUGCGACAACCAACUCAACAUAACUAUCAAAUACCAUGGAAAAUGCGAUCCCUGCUCGGAACAUGAAUGCGCGGACGGCGGCGUAUGUCAGUUAAAUGAAGCGCGGGCGCCAGUCUGCAGAUGUGGUCCACCGUGCGAUCUGUUGGUGCGGCCCGGCUCCGCUGUGUGCGGCUCCGACUACAAAGACUAUCCAAGCGAGUGCGCCUUGCGCCGAGAGUCGUGUCGGACAAGACAACAACUUACUAUUGCCUACAGAGGAGAAUGCGCUUCCGCACAACAUCCGUGUGACUCGGUGAAGUGUGGAGCUCGGGAGCACUGCUCGCUCGACGCACGCGGCGUGGCGGUGUGCGGCUGUGGCGUGGAGUGCGAGCCGGUGGUGAGGCCUGUGUGUGGCUCUGACGGGCGCACCUACGAUAGCCGCUGUCACUUGGAUAGGACUUCAUGUUUAGACAAUCGAGAUGUGCGGAUAGCUUACACAGGACCUUGUGGUGUAGAGAACCCGUGCGCCCGCGCUUCAUGUCCAUGGGGAGGCGCGUGCGUGGCUCGCGGCGGCGCGGCGCAGUGCGCAUGCCCAGUAUGCGACGCCACGCUCACGCCCGUCUGCGCGUCCGACAGGAACACGUACGGCUCCGAGUGUAAGAUGCGCAUGCACGCCUGCCAGGAAGGCUUGCCUGAUGGAGAGCUCAAAGUGCUGUAUAAUGGAACUUGUCAGACUUGCUCGGACAUCAUGUGCAAGGGCGGCGGUGACUGCGCCGUGGAUGCCGACACCGGCCGGCCCAUAUGUCGCUGCAACCACAACUGCACCGAGGCACAGGAGUCGGACUUGGCAUGCGGGAGCGACGGCCAGACAUACCCGUCGCAAUGCGAGCUGGACUCGACAGCGUGUCGUGAACAAACUGAUCUGCGGCUCGCAUACAAAGGCGAUUGUGCGCUCUGUGAAGGAGUUCAGUGUGCUUUUGGUGCACAUUGCGCCGCUGGCGAGUGCAUAUGUCCCAUGGACUGCACUGGUGCUGCUCGUGAACCAGUUUGUGGCAGUACCAUGCAGACAUUUCCCAACGAGUGCGAACUACAGAAGGCAGCUUGCAGACUCCCUCCACCAGCGACACUGCACGUCAUCUUUUAUGGAGACUGUAAAGACAGACUCGCUGUAGUACCACCAAUUGCUAUGACGACGACCGCGAUGACUACAACCGAGGCAGAGGACGGGUCCACAGACGCGUGGGGCGCCACUGACCUGGACGGCACGGCCGGGCCCGCCGCCUGCCGCGACAUCCGAUGCGACUUCGGCGCUAGCUGCGAGAUCGGCUCCGAUGGUUACCCACGCUGUUCCUGCCUUUUCGAAUGUCCGCAUGAAACCGAAUACUUCCCUGUCUGCGCCUCAGACUUCAGACUCUAUCCCAGUCUCUGUGCUAUGCGUAAAGAGGGCUGUCAGAAACAACUCGAGUUGAGACUAAGGCCACUGGAUCUCUGCAAAGGUAUGGAAGUAAGACCCUGCGGUAAUAAUAAAGCUAUGAUCGACCCUACCACUGGCCUCGAAAUAGACUGUGGUAACGGGCCGCACCGGCAGGAUUGUCCUGCCGGCAGCUACUGUCAUAUCACGCUGACGGCGGCUCGCUGCUGCCCUAAAAACGAUUCAAGACAACUUGAGGAAAAGAAGAUAUCUCACUGUUCCGAAACUUCGUAUGGGUGUUGCUCUGACGGUUCGACCGCAGCCAGCGGUCCUAAUGAGGAGGGGUGUCCAAUCACGAGUUCGACUUGCGGUUGUAACCGGCUCGGCUCGGUGUCGGAUCGAUGCGAUGACGACGGACAAUGUGUUUGCCGGCCCGGUGUUGGCGGCCUCAAGUGCGACCGGUGCGAGCCCGGCUAUUGGGGGCUGCCCAGGAUCGGCUCCGGACACACUGGGUGUAUACCGUGUGGGUGCUCCGCUUUCGGUUCAGUUAGGGAGGAUUGCGAACAAAUGACUGGUCGAUGUGUUUGCCGAACCGGGGUUCAAGGACAGAAGUGUACCGUGUGCGCCGACCACAGACGCAGAUUAGGACCCAACGGGUGUUCCGACCCUGAAACUGGUGGCGUGGUAUCAUCAUGCGCAGAACUAUCUUGUUACUUCGGCGCGGUGUGCACGGAACGCACUGGUGGCGCCCUUUGCGAGUGCGCAGCCGCACCCUGCUCCGACAGCGAUACCAACAUGCUGGUAUGCGGUAGCGAUGGCAAAACUUACGAAUCCGAGUGUCACCUCAAGUUGCAAGCGUGUCGCACGCAAGAGGAUAUUGUGGUGCAAGCGUUUGGUCCGUGCAAGUUGGGCGAAGUGGCUGGCACAGCCGGCCCGCCGCGGCCCUCCUCGCCCAUACAGUUCACUCAGCAAGAUGACGGCGCCGCAUCCAAGUCAACCAGACACCUGCUCAAUCCAGACAAAUAUUACAACAAGUACGAUUGGACUAGAAAAGAAACACCCAGUGAUUUCGACAGUAUCUUAUCAGGACAAAAAUUCAAAGCAACGACAGCAACAGUAGGAUCAGGGGCAGUGGGAGCAUUGUUGGGCGACCUUUGCGCCGACGACGGCGACUGCGCCGCGCUGCCCGGCGCGGAGUGCGCGCGCGCCGCCUGCGUGUGUCGCCCGGGACACGUACCCACGCUACAUAGGAAGGCUUGCGUUGAACAAUUGCCACAAGAGACGACAGAAGAAUAUAGCGCUUGUUUGUCAGAGCCUUGUUAUAACCUCGGAACAUGUAUUGAUUUGCCUGGAUCCACUUACACGUGCUUAUGUGCCGGUCCUUAUACCGGAUUGAACUGCGAGUCCCUUGCAAAGGACGGACUUCUGGGAACCUAUAUAGAGACACCGUCGUUCGACGGCACUUCAUAUAUAAGACUAAAACCCUUGAAAGCUUACCACAAGCUGAAUAUCGAUAUUGAAUUCAAAGCCUUUUCCGAGAACGGCGUCAUAUUGUACAAUCAGCAGAAACCUGACGGCACCGGUGAUUUUGUUUCACUCGCCUUAGUCAACGGAUAUUUAGAGUUUAGGUAUAAUCUUGGAAACGGAGUGUUAAUACUAACUUCACUAGAAAAGAUAACGUUAAACGAGUAUCACAAGGUGUCUGCGAAGCGAUACCAUCGAGACGGGAUUUUAUCAGUCGACGAUAUGGAAGAUGUGGUUGGCCAAUCCAGCGGCCAUUUAAAAGCACUCGAUUUGAAUGAAGAUGCCUAUAUUGGGAGCGUGCCUACCAACUUUUCUAGAGUCUUCGAUAAUAUUGGAACACGACACAGUUUUAUCGGCUGCGUGAAAUAUUUGAGGGUAAUACGUCAUCAAGUGACAAAGAAAUUGGGCCGUCCGGACUCAUUAGUCGUUGCUAUUGAAAACGUCCAGGAGUGCCAAUCCAACCCGUGUAUGAGUAUGCCGUGCAAGAAUGGCGCUACGUGUAAAUCUAUAGAGGGGUCGGCGACCGAAUAUACUUGUAGCUGCCCUAUCGGAUUUCAAGGAGCCAAUUGUGACGAGAGAUUAGAUCCGUGCGAGUCGAAUCCCUGCGGAUAUGAUGAGGGGCUAUUGUGUGACAUCGGACCCGACGGCGGACACGUCUGUCGCUGUUUGUUUGGAGGCGAAAUUGGCUCCAACGGAAAUACUUGCAACAAUGAUGUGAACGUGGUUCAGGAAACCUGGUCCCCCCAGUUCAAUGGGACGAGCUACGUUGAAUUGCCACCGCUCGAAGGGUUGGGAAAAGCGUUCCGCAUUGAAAUUUGGUUUUUAACGAACCGAUUUUCUGGAAUGCUCCUUUACACUGGCCAGUCUAAUAAAGCCAAGGGGGAUUUUAUAGCGAUUAACCUGGUUAAUGGUUACCUUCAGUUUAGGUACAAUUUGGGGAGCGGUAUUGCUAAUAUAACGUCACCAGUGCCUAUAACUAAGGGUCGCUGGCACCGUGCUCGGGUCUCGAGGUCAGGACGUCACGGAAGUCUGCAACUGGAUCAUCAUCCCACGCAAAGGGGACACUCGUCACCUCCGUUAACUCAUCUCGAACUAACGCUGCCUCUUUUUAUUGGAUCUCUGCCCUCGUACAUUCGUCCGCACAAGAUGUCAGGCGUGACCAGCAGUUUCAUAGGCUCGGUGCAACAGGUCUUUGUGAAUGGCAACCCUUUGUCUCUGUAUGGGGCUGAUACGGCCAAGUGUGCGAUAGUGCAGGACGAAGAACGGCUCCCUUGCGCCACCACUGGCGUCACCAAGUAUACUGGCCCACCCUGUGGAGAUGGUCUGACUCCCUGCAAAAACAAUGGCUCCUGCAUUCCAUUACUGAAUGAAUAUAAGUGUACCUGUCGCGAUGGGUACCAGGGCAGGAACUGUGAGAUUCAGAUCAACGUCGAAAUGCUUAACGAACGGACCCCGGUCAACUUCGAUGGAAACAAUUACUUCUCCUAUAGAAGCAGAGGCAGUCGCAGCUUGCAUACUAACAAAGACGUCGGUGAUGGACACUACGGUGUAAGAUAACAUUUGAAGGAAUCAACAAAUACUUACAUAAAUUAGUCGUAAUUCGUCACAGCAGUUAGUUUAGGAACAGCGGCGCUCGCGGUAUUAGAUAUGAAAUAAAAUUCCGAACAUACAACGACUCUGGCCUCCUCAUGUGGAGGCGGAAAAUUGGUAUACGGCCUCGAGACUUCAUCGGCUUAGGCUUGAGUGACGGAAAACUGCA
rnacentral:misc_RNA from 1 species